UGUAACAGAGGGAAGCGAAACAGCGAUGUGGAGCGAAACCCGAAAAGCACCCCCAGUUCGGAUUGCAGGCUGAAAUUCGCCUGUAUGAAGCCGGGAUUGCUAGUAAUGGCAGGUCAGCAUACUGCCGUGAAUACGUUCCCGGGCCUUGUACACACCGCCCGUCAAACCAUGAGAGUUGGCAACACCCGAAGUCGGUAGUCUAACCGCAAGGAGGACGCCGCCGAAGGUGGGGUUGAUGAUUAGGGUUAAGUCGUAACAAGGUAAC
rnacentral:rRNA from 1 species